UGAGGAAUAUUGGUCAAUGGGCGGGAGCCUGAACCAGCCAAGCCGCGUGAGGGAGGAAGGCCCUAUGGGUCGUAAACCUCUUUUGUCAGGGAACAAAAGCGAGUAUGUAUACUAGUCUGAGUGUACCUGAAGAAAAAGGCAUCGGCUAACUCCGUGCCAGCAGCCGCGGUAAUACGGAGGAUGCGAGCGUUAUCCGGAUUUAUUGGGUUUAAACGGGUGCGUAGGCGGCGGUGCAAGUCAGCGGUAAAAGCCCGGGGCUCAACCCCGGCGAGCCGUUGAAACUGUAGUGCUAGAGAAGGCGAGAGGUACGCGGAAUGCGCAGUGUAGCGGUGAAAUGCUUAGAUAUUGCGCAGAACUCCGAUUGCGAAGGCAGCGUACUGGCGCCUGACUGACGCUGAGGCACGAAAGCGUGGGGAUCGAACAGGAUUAGAUACC
rnacentral:rRNA from 1 species